rnacentral:rRNA from 1 species
GACAGAGGGUGCAAACGUUGUUCGGAAUUACUGGGCGUAAAGCGCGUGUAGGCGGCUUGGCAAGUCGGGUGUGAAAGCCCUGGGCUUAACCUAGGAAGUGCACACGAAACUGCCGAGCUUGAGUUCUGGAGAGGAAGGCGGAAUUCUCGGUGUAGAGGUGAAAUUCGUAGAUAUCGAGAGGAACACCGGUGGCGAAGGCGGCCUUCUGGACAGCGACUGACGCUGAGACGCGAAAGCGUGGGGAGCAAACAGG